rnacentral:lncRNA from 1 species
UUAAAUUUAAUUUAAUAUUGUAAUUUAAAAUUAAAUAUCAAAUGACCUAUAAUGUGCGAUAUAUGAUCCAAGAAACCAUCUUUGCUCCAUUUAGGUUUCCUCAAUUUAUUCCUUUUCACUUUAUUGAUGUGUGACAUGUGGCAAAUUUAAAGUCAAGGGUUGGGAUUAAAAGCUUUGGCAUUAGCACUUUUUAAUGAAAAAUAAAAUACACUUUUCCAACAAAACACACAUGCUUUCUCCAGAAAUAAACACGAUCUCUUCUUCCUCCUCCUAUCAGCACCAUCGCCACUCACCCUUUCACUCUCGCAAACGUUGUCGUUCAGUCUCGUCGUCGCAAACAGAACCGCGGUGAAUCAAGACAACCACUAUCUUUGAAUUGAAUCACACUUAUUUGUAAAUCAAUUAAAUCAUCAUUGAGCUUUUACAAAUUUCUCAUAAUUUGAUUUAGAACAGCAAUAAAUAAGCGAUUUGCAGAGAAAAAAAACGUUGUCGACAGCGAAGUUUGCGACGACGAGUUGUGUGAGGCUGUAUGUGGAGAAGGAGGAGAUCGCUGCAGCGGAGGGUGAUGAACGGCGGUGGAGGCGGCACCGGUCACAGGGAGACGCAACCAUGAUGGUGAGAGGAAGGAGGAGGAAGAGUGUUGUACGUUUCUGGGAAAGAAGAAGAAGCGUGUUUCUGUUCCAGAGAAAGAAGAAAGAGAAAGUGUGUGUUUUGUUGGAAAAGGGUGUAUUUUAUUUUUCAUUAAAAAAGUGCUCAUGCCAAAGCUUUUAAUCCCAACCCUUGUUUUUACAUUUGCCACAUGUCACACAACAAUAAAGUGAAAAGGAAUAAAUUGAGGAAACUUAAAUAGAGCAAAGAUGAACUCAUGAUCCAAUCGAUAAUUUUUUUAUGUCAUCUUUUUGUCUGCAUCCAAACACCUUAGAACACGCAUUACGAUAUACCGGAGAGAACUUUACUCUUACGUCCAGAUGUCCAUAAGCAAUUGUUGUUGUUUUCCCUUCAAAACAUGAUGAACUUGACAUUGACAUGUCAUAGAACAUUGUAUCAUUUACGAUAUUUAUUUGAAUUAUAACAAACACAUGUGUAAUUCCUACACAUAGAACAUUUUAUCAUCAGCGAUAUUUAUUUGAAUCAUAACAACCACAUGCAUAAUUCCUACAUUGCGGUUUUCGAGGAAGCACACAGUUAAUUCUUGCUACACAAUGAGAGUGUGCACGACAUUCAUGAAUUGCUGUAAUGAUAAAAGAGAAGAUAAAAAUGUUAGUAAUUCAAGGGGAUAAAAGGUUAGGUAAGAAAUAAAAAAAAAUUGUAAAAUAAUGAAAAACGAUUUACCGGCAUCGUUCAUUGCAAUGAAAAAUAGUGAAAGAAAGUAGAUCGUAAUAUAAACAAACUUAAUAACUUUAACCAUAUUAUUUCCCUUUUGCAUGAAAAAAUAAAAAGGAUUUGAUGAAUUUAUAAAGUAUAAAGCACACGGUUUCUUUAUACAAAUUCAAUAGUUGUUAUAAGACAUAGUAAAAUACCUCUAAACUACAUUGAAGUUUUAUGUUUGUCCCUUGGAUAAAAUUAACUAUAUUGAAGUGUUAUCUUUGUCCCUUGGAUAAAAUUAAAAACAUAAGGGAUCUACCGUCCCUCCAUAUGUCAAGUUGAUCCUCUCAUCACCCUAAGAUCAUAUAUGCGAUACGAGAUACCUGGUCGUCAAGCCUAUAGAGAUUUGUAUGUUGUCGGAUAGUUAAUUAAGGUGAAGAUUUACCCUCUCACAUGUAAUUGAAAUACAAACGAAGUUGGUAACUACGACAUUUUGCAUCUACUGCAAC